rnacentral:rRNA from 1 species
UACGGGGGGGGGCAAGCGUUGUUCGGAAUUACUGGGCGUAAAGGGCUCGUAGGUGGCCAACUAAGUCAGACGUGAAAUCCCCAGGCUCAACUUGGGAACUGCGUCUGAUACUGGAUGGCUUGAAUUCGGGAGAGGGAUGCAGAAUUCCAGGUGUAGCGGUGAAAUGCGUAGAUAUCUGGAGGAAUACCGGUGGCGAAGGCGGCAUCCUGGACCGAGAUUGACACUGAGGAGCGAAAGCCAGGGGAGCAAACGGG